GUCUAGCAUUCAAUGCUCAUACAUCUCUUUUCUUCACCCCCACCACCAUCACCACUACCACCGCCAUUAUCUUCUUCUUCAUCGACGAACCAGAUCAAUGCCCUUCGUUAAAUCUCCUUCAUCAUCAUCAUUGUCAUCAUCAUCAUCUUCUUCUUCUUCUUCUUCUUCCUGAAUAUCAUGUGUUAGGGUUGGUGACUUGUUUCAGCAUCAUCGAUUUGGGCUGUCAGAAAUCUAAUCAUUUGGCUUUUUUGAUCCGCCUCAAUAUACUUUCCAGAAGUCUAGAUCUUGUUGCAGAUGCCCAUUAGAAUUUAGUUCGUUUAAUUCUAUAUAAAAAAUGUUUCUACUACUAGGUGACUUAGGGGGGCUUCUUUCUCUCCACAUUUGCACCUUUUUCUUCCCUUGAUCCCAAACCGGCCAAACGCCAUGCCAGUUAGGCCAGGAUCCUGAAUUGUUGUGCUUGAAAAUCGAACCAAUGAUGUGGUCGAAAUCAAAGUGCAUCAGGACGGCUGUCCUACCGUUGCUUCGAUACGCGUUUUAUCCGGCAGAACUGAAGAAUUCCCGGCUGCUAAAUUUUUAAAGAAAUAUAGGACUUCGCUAGAGCCUUUGAUUCUGAAGGUUUAUAGAGGCGCAAAUUGGACAGGCCGGACAUUGACACCGAGUGAUUUCACCUCCUAUGUGAAAAUCAUCUUUAGCGAUUUACCAGAAGAACGCCUGAGGAUCUGCGGCAUUGAAGAACAGGCCACUGAUUUCGGUCGAUAUAAGGGCUUCGGUUCUCUGCUAGGGAGGAACUACAGUGGGCGGCCGGAGAAAGAGUUAUAGUAUGAACGCAAAGAUGAGGAUAUCAUAGUCUGGCUCUUCAUUUGCUUGUCCAAGAAUCAAGUGGUGGAUAUUUACAGACCUGUCAAUCUUUGGAAGCAACAUCUAUUCUUCACACUGUUUGGUGUUGGAGUACUGUUUCUUAUGGUAGUCUUUAAGAUUUGAUAUUUGGUUUCCAUUUGAUAUGGCAUUUUGGGAAAUUUUUUGAAAAUCUUACCCUUGUUCUUGUAUCAUUUUCUUUCCUUAGAAAACAUGGAUUUUGGAAAAGAAAAGAUUCUUUACUACUAAAAUUCUGAUGAGAAGCUCACAUCUUGGGACCUGAAUUAAAUUUGGCUCAACGCAUAAACUUUGGUUUUUAAGAAUUCAUUUUUUAUAAUUUAUUCAAUCCUGUAUAGUGGGGCUUAGGGCCCUUUUAAUGCUGUAGGCUUGACAAAUCAAUGUAUUCUACUUGAUAUGGUAUACUGAUUUCCCUAAUUGUCUUGUUUCCAAGGUAUCUGCUUCUUUUUCUUUUAAAUUGCACAUGCUAUAUUUAUUAUGGUUAAGCAAUGGUUGAGUUAUCUUCAAAAUUAAAUCAAAACUGGGAGUGAAGGGUAAUUUCUUGUGAACAUGGUUAUGGUUCUCUUUUAUUUAUGUUUCUUUUUUUUAAUAUUUUCAUCAUGUAUGCUUGCUGUGAGUUUAAUAGGAUGAGGAUCCAUAGCUACUUGGCUUGUGUUUUUUUGGGUUAUGUUUAAACAUCUUUAAAAAGGCACUGUUUUUGACUUUUAACUUUUUAAGGUGCUUUUCAUAAAUGUGCUUUUAGGCUUCCUGUUGGACUUCAGCUUCAGAGGUGUUUUUUCUGGUGUCACAAAGGAAUUGGUAGGCAGUUCAUUUUUUUCCUUCGUCUGGGAGGACACUUUUCCUUGGUUACUGUACCUCUUCUUUUUAAAAACAUUUAUUUUCUGUCUAAAAAAUAUGUAAGUACUUUUUUUUCUUUUUAGUUUGUUCAGCCAGCCAAAAAAUCUUAUAGUAUAAUAAGUUUCUAUCCAAUUAAAACAAGUUAAUGGUUAAUGCUAUAAACAAGCUCUUUAAAUUUUGAUUUUGACUCAAAUUUUGAAGCUCUAUAAGUACGGAAAUUUCAACAGAAAUUUCGAUUUGGAUUUCGAUUUCAAUUUGAAAAAAAUAACGGAAAUCAAUAGUAAAGCAUGGAAUUCUUUGUGAAACACUAGAAAUGGUUAAAAACCAUAAUAAUGUAAGUUUAAUAUAUUUUAAGUUAAAUACAUUUAUGUUGUGUAUGAGGUGGAAAUGUUGUAAUAUAGUAUCUAUAUCAAACAUAUUUGUAAGAUAAUGUAUAGUUUACACAUUCAGCUAAUACAAAUGAAAUUCAUAAAUUAUUUAAGUAUUAUUUAUUAUAAAAAUAAUGAUAAUUUAGACAUAAAUGGUUAAAUUAAAUGCUGGAUUAAGUUUGUUUUUUCAUAUAAUUUCAAAAGCAUUUGUAAUAAUAUUUUGUUGCGAUAAAAAUAAAUAAAAUAUAUUAAGAGAGAAAUUUCACUCUACUCUUAAAUCUCUUAUUUGAAUUCCAAGGAAAUUUCAUUGUAUACUUAAAAUUUCGAUAAGUUUCACAGAAAUUUCGAGAUUUCGAUAAAUUUUGAGAUGAUUCGUUGAGAUUUCAAUGGAAAUUAUGCAAGAGAGAAAUCGAUUACCAUUUCGAUUUCGAGGGUGAUGGGAACUGGAAAUUUCGACGGAAUUCAAUUUUGUGGAAAUUUAAGACAAUGGCUGUAAAAACCAAGCUUCUAGGUGUGAGUGUUGCGAACUACUUGGGCAUGUCCUGUGGCUGACAAUGGAUAUCUCCGUCUUGUGUAAAGUCUUUCCCAGCAUUCAAUUGCCAUCUUGGGUGCCGAGCAAGCUUUGGAUUCCAGCGAUAGAUUUGGUCGCUCUGUUCCUUCUCUCUUAAUAAAAUUUCCCUUUUGUGAUUUUAAUGGUCAAUCUGUGGAUCUUUGCUUGAAACAUGCUAAUGGAGCAUCUAGUACCCAUCAAAGCUGGGGAAAUUUUUCUUGCUCUGAAGUGCAGUAUAUGUACUUAAAUAGCAAAUUGUUAGUUUU